rnacentral:piRNA from 1 species
UCUAAAAGCGAAAUAGUGAUC